rnacentral:rRNA from 1 species
AUAAGAUAUGUAGGGCAGUAGGUGGAUGCCUUGGCGACGGACGGCGAUGAAGGACGUAGUAAGUUGCGAUAAGCCUCGGGGAGCCGCUAAACUGGCUGUGAUCCGGGGAUUUCCGAAUGGGAAAACCUGACCAAGCAAACCUUGGUCAUAUUAUUGUGAAUACAUAGCAAUAAUAGGCUAACGAGGGGAAGUGAAACAUCUCAGUACCCUCAGGAAAAGAAAUCAAAAGAGAUUCCCCUAGUGGCGGCGAGCGAAAGGGGAAGAGCCCAAACCAGAGAGAACUUGUUCUUUCUGGGGUUGUGGGACCUUAACGUGGGACCUUGCGAAGUAGUAGAACAGAUUGGAAAGUCUGACCAUAGAGAGUGAUAGUCUCGUAUACGAAACUUCAAGAGGCCCUAGAGGUAUCCCGAGUACUCCGGAACACGAGAAAUUUUGGAGGAAUCUGGGUGGACCACCAUCCAAGGCUAAAUACGUGCCGUCGACCGAUAGUGAACGAGUACCGUGAGGGAAAGGUGAAAAGAACCCCGAUGAGGGGAGUGAAAUAGAAUCUGAAACCAACUGCCUGUAACCAGUGGAAGGGCUAUGUCCUGAGCUUGCUCAGGAAACGCCUGACCGCGUGCCUUUUGCCUAAUGAGCCGGCGAGUUAUCCUCAGUGGCAAGAUUAAGCCGAUAGGUGUAGUCGUAGCGAAAGCGAGUCUGAAUAGGGCGUUUAGUCACUGGGGAUAGACCCGAAGCUAGUCGAUCUAUCCAUGGCCAGGGUGAAGCAGAGAGAAAACCUUUGUGGAGGCCCGAACCGCUCAGGGGUGAAAACCUGUCGGAUGAGCUGUGGAUCGGAGUGAAAGGCUAAUCAAGACUAGUGAUAGCUGGUUCUCCCCGAAAUAUAUUUAGGUAUAGCCUCAUAUGAUGACCAACGGAGGUAGAGCACUGGAUGGGCUAGGGGGUCGAAAGAUCUACCAAACCCAAUCAAACUCCGAAUGCCGUUGGGUUCAGUAUGGGAGUCAGUCAGUGGGAGAGAAGUUCCAUUGGCGAGAGGGAAACAACCCCAGAUCGUCAGCUAAGGCCCCCAAAUCUAGACUAAGUGGUAAAGGAUGUAAGUUCGCAUAAACAGCCAGGAGGUAGACUUAGAAGCAGUCAUCCUUGAAAGAAAGCGUAACAGCUCACUGGUCGACGCAAACUUGCGCCGAAAAUGAAUCGGGGCUCAAGUCUAGUGCCGAAGCUACGGGUUGUACUUAAUGUACAGCGGUAGGGGAGCGUUCCCAACAGGUUGAAGGGCUACCGUAAGGAGGCCUGGACAGUUGGGAAGUGAGAAUGCCGGCAUGAGUAGCGAUAAAAGUGGUGAGAAUCCACUUCGCCGAAAACCCAAGGUUUCCUGGGCAAGGCUCGUCCUCCCAGGGUGAGUCGGGACCUAAGGCGAGGCCGAAAGGCGUAGUCGAUGGAAAACGGGUUAAUAUUCCCGUACCACUCUAUUUGAGUGAUGGGGUGACGGAGAAGGGUAGGUCAGCCGGGUGAUGGAUAUCCUGGUUUAAGCUAGUAGGAGGAAGAGACAGGAAAAUCCGUUUCUUCUUAACUCCGAGAAGCGAGUACGAGAGACUUUGGUCUCAUAAAGUGAUUGAUCCCAUGCUUCCAAGAAAAGCCUCUAAACGUUGAUAAUAGAGUGCCCGUACCGUAAACGGACACACGUGGGUGAGUUGAGAAUACUAAGGCGCGUGAGAGAACUCUGGUUAAGGAACUCGGCAAAUUAGCCCCGUAACUUCGGAAUAAGGGGCGCCCAGAUGUAUGUGAAAGCCUUCGCGGCUGUGCAGAAAUCGGGUUGCAAUAAAGAGGGGGUGGCGACUGUUUACUAAAAAACACAGGGCUCUGCUAACACGUAAGUGGAUGUAUAGGGUCUGACACCUGCCCGGUGCCGGACGGUUAAGAGGACUUGUUAUCUUCGGAGAAGCUCGGAAUCGAAGCCCCGGUAAACGGCGGCCGUAACUAUAACGGUCCUAAGGUAGCGAAAUUCCUUGUCGGGUAAGUUCCGACCUGCAUGAAAGGUGUAACGAUUGCCCCACUGUCUCAACCAGAGACUCAGCGAAAUUGUGGUUCCGGUGAAGACGCCGGAUACCCGCUACGGGACGGAAAGACCCCGUGACCUUUACUACAACUUGGCACUGGAUUUUGGGCCUCCUUGCGUAGGAUAGGUGGGAGCCUGUGAAACUUUACUUCUGGGUAGAGUGGAGGCGUUGGUGAAAUACCACCCUAGCAGUUUCUAGAAUUCUAACUUAGAUCCGUUAUCCGGAUCAAGGACAAUGUCUGGUGGGUAGUUUGACUGGGGCGGUCGCCUCCUAAAGAGUAACGGAGGCGUGCAAAGGUUCCCUCAGCCUGUUUGGAAAUCAGGCGUAGAGUGCAAAGGCAUAAGGGAGCUUGACUGUAAGACCGACAGGUCGAGCAGGAGCGAAAGCUGGUCUUAGUGACCCGGUGGUUCUGUGUGGAAUGGCCAUCGAUCAACGGAUAAAAGGUACUCCGGGGAUAACAGAUUAAUCUCCCCCAAGAGUCCACAUCGACGGGGAGGUUUGAUACCUCGAUGUCGGCUCAUCGCAUCCUGGGGCUGAAGAAGGUCCCAAGGGUUUGGGCUGUUCGCCAAUUAAAGCGGUACGCGAGCUGGGUUUAGAACGUCGUGAGACAGUUCGGUCCCUAUCUGUAGCGGGCGAAGGAGAAUUGAGGGGAUCUGCUCCUAGUACGAGAGGACCGGAGUGGACGAGCCUCUGGUGUACCAGUUGUCGCGCCAGCGGCAGCGCUGGGUAGUUAUGCUCGGAAGGGAUAACCGCUGAAAGCAUCUAAGCGGGAAGCCCACCCCAAGAUUAAUUCUCCCGAAGCUAAAGCUUCCUAAAGGUCCCUCGAAGACUACGAGGUUGAUAGGCCAAAGGUGUAAGCACUGUGAAGUGUUGAGCUGAUUGGUACUAACUGACCGUGAGGCUUACUGCG